GUACGAGACGCUAAGGCGUUGAAGCAGUCUAUGUCAGACUUCCAAGAAAAGCUCGCAAUGUCAUAGACAAAAAAUGCCUGUACCAUAACCGACACAGGUGGGUAGGUAGAGUAUACUAAGGGGCGCGAGAUAACUCUCUCUAAGGAACUCGGCAAAAUGACUCCGUAACUUCGGGAGAAGGAGUGCCUUAUUUUUAUAAGGUUGCAAUAACAAGAUCCAAGCAACUGUUUACCAAAAACACAGGUCUCCGCUAAGUCGUAAGACGAUGUAUGGGGGCUGACGCCUGCCCAGUGCCAGAAGGUUAAAGAAGUUGGUUAGUUUCGGCGAAGCUGAUGACUGAAGCCCUGGUGAACGGCGGCCGUAACUAUAACGGUCCUAAGGUAGCGAAAUUCCUUGUCGGGUAAGUUCCGACCCGCACGAAAGGCGUAAUGAUUUGGAUACUGUCUCGGAGAGGGGCUCGGUGAAAUAGACUUGUCUGUGAAGAUGCGGACUACCUGCACCUGGACAGAAAGACCCUAUGAAGCUUUACUGUAACUUGAGAUUGAAAUUGGACUUUAUUUGCGCAGUAUAGGUGGGAGACGUUGAGAAUAUUCUUGCGGGAAUAUUGGAGUCAUCAGUGAGAUACCACUCUUGUAAUGUUAGAUUUCUAACUUUGUAUCAUUAUCUGGUCAAAGGACAGUUUCAGGCGGGCAGUUUGACUGGGGCGGUCGCCUCCCAAACGGUAACGGAGGCGCACAAAGGUUUCCUCUGAACGUGUAGAAAUCGUAUCUAGAGUGUAAAGGCAUAAGGAAGCUUGACUGUGAGACCUACAAGUCGAGCAGGGACGAAAGUCGGUCUUAGUGAUCUGACGGUGCUGAGUGGAAAGGCCGUCACUCAACGGAUAAAAGUUACUCUAAGGAUAACAGGCUGAUCUCCCCCAAGAGUUCACAUCGACGGGGAGGUUUGGCACCUCGAUGUCGGCUCAUCGCAUCCUGGGGCGGUAGUACGUCCCAAGGGUUGGGCUGUUCGCCCAUGAAAGCGGUACGCGAGCUGGGUUCAGAACGUCGUGAGACAGUUCGGUCCAUAUCCGGUGUAGGCGUUAGAAUAUUGAGAGGAGCCUUCUUUAGUACGAGAGGACCGAGAAGGACAUACCUCUGGUGUACCAGUUAUCGUGCCAACGGUAAACGCUGGGUAGCUAUGUAUGGAGUGGAUAACCGCUGAAAGCAUCUAAGUGGGAAGCCCACCUCAAGAUAAG
rnacentral:rRNA from 1 species